rnacentral:rRNA from 1 species
GGGUUGUGAGGUUAAGUGACUAAGCGUACACGGUGGAUGCCUAGGCAGUCAGAGGCGAUGAAGGGCGUGCUAAUCUGCGAAAAGCGUCGGUAAGGUGAUAUGAACCGUUAUAACCGGCGAUACCCGAAUGGGGAAACCCAGUGUGUUUCGACACACUAUCAUGUCAUGAAUACAUAGUGGCAUGAGGCGAACCGGGGGAACUGAAACAUCUAAGUACCCCGAGGAAAAGAAAUCAACCGAGAUUCCCCCAGUAGCGGCGAGCGAACGGGGAGGAGCCCAGAACCUGAAUCGGCUUGUGUGUUAGUGGAAGCGUCUGGAAAGUCGCGCAGCAAAGGGUGAUAGCCCCGUACACUAAAAUGCACAGGUCGUGAGUUCGAUGAGUAGGGCGGGACACGUGACAUCCUGUCUGAAUAUGGGGGGACCAUCCUCCAAGGCUAAAUACUCCUGACUGACCGAUAGUGAACCAGUACCGUGAGGGAAAGGCGAAAAGAACCCCGGCGAGGGGAGUGAAAUAGAACCUGAAACCGUGUACGUACAAGCAGUGGGAGCACCUUCGUGGUGUGACUGCGUACCUUUUGUAUAAUGGGUCAGCGACUUAUAUUUUGUAGCAAGGUUAACCGUAUAGGGGAGCCGUAGGGAAACCGAGUCUUAACUGGGCGAAUAGUUGCAAGGUAUAGACCCGAAACCCGGUGAUCUAGCCAUGGGCAGGUUGAAGGUUGGGUAACACUAACUGGAGGACCGAACCGACUAAUGUUGAAAAAUUAGCGGAUGACUUGUGGCUGGGGGUGAAAGGCCAAUCAAACCGGGAGAUAGCUGGUUCUCCCCGAAAGCUAUUUAGGUAGCGCCUCGUGAACUCAUCUUCGGGGGUAGAGCACUGUUUCGGCUAGGGGGCCAUCCCGGCUUACCAAACCGAUGCAAACUCCGAAUACCGAAGAAUGUUAUCACGGGAGACACACGGCGGGUGCUAACGUCCGUCGUGAAGAGGGAAACAACCCAGACCGCCAGCUAAGGUCCCAAAGUCAUGGUUAAGUGGGAAACGAUGUGGGAAGGCACAGACAGCCAGGAUGUUGGCUUAGAAGCAGCCAUCAUUUAAAGAAAGCGUAAUAGCUCACUGGUCGAGUCGGCCUGCGCGGAAGAUGUAACGGGGCUAAACCAUGCACCGAAGCUGCGGCAGCGACGCUUAGGCGUUGUUGGGUAGGGGAGCGUUCUGUAAGCCGUUGAAGGUGGCCUGUGAGGGUUGCUGGAGGUAUCAGAAGUGCGAAUGCUGACAUAAGUAACGAUAAAGCGGGUGAAAAGCCCGCUCGCCGGAAGACCAAGGGUUCCUGUCCAACGUUAAUCGGGGCAGGGUGAGUCGACCCCUAAGGCGAGGCUGAAAAGCGUAGUCGAUGGGAAACAGGUUAAUAUUCCUGUACUUGGUGUUACUGCGAAGGGGGGACGGAGAAGGCUAGGCUAGCCGGGCGACGGUUGUCCCGGUUUAAGCGUGUAGGGGGUGUGACCUGGUAAAUCCGGUUACAUACUAACCCUGAGGCGUGAUGACGAUGCACUACGGUGCAGAAGUAGUUGAUGCCCUGCUUCCAGGAAAAGCCUCUAAGCAUCAGGUAACAUUGAAUCGUACCCCAAACCGACACAGGUGGUCAGGUAGAGAAUACCAAGGCGCUUGAGAGAACUCGGGUGAAGGAACUAGGCAAAAUGGUGCCGUAACUUCGGGAGAAGGCACGCUGGCAUGUAGGUGAAGUCCCUCGCGGAUGGAGCUGAAGCCAGUCGAAGAUACCAGCUGGCUGCAACUGUUUAAUAAAAACACAGCACUGUGCAAACACGAAAGUGGACGUAUACGGUGUGACGCCUGCCCGGUGCUGGAAGGUUAAUUGAUGGGGUCAGCCGCAAGGCGAAGCUCUUGAUCGAAGCCCCAGUAAACGGCGGCCGUAACUAUAACGGUCCUAAGGUAGCGAAAUUCCUUGUCGGGUAAGUUCCGACCUGCACGAAUGGCGUAAUGAUGGCCAGGCUGUCUCCACCCGAGACUCAGUGAAAUUGAACUCGCUGUGAAGAUGCAGUGUACCCGCGGCAAGACGGAAAGACCCCGUGAACCUUUACUAUAGCUUGACACUGAACAUUGAGCCUUGAUGUGUAGGAUAGGUGGGAGGCUUUGAAGCGUGGACGCCAGUCUGCGUGGAGCCAUCCUUGAAAUACCACCCUUUAAUGUUUGAUGUUCUAACUCGGCCCCGUGAUCCGGGGUGAGGACAGUGUCUGGUGGGUAGUUUGACUGGGGCGGUCUCCUCCCAAAGAGUAACGGAGGAGCACGAAGGUUAGCUAAUCACGGUCGGACAUCGUGAGGUUAGUGCAAAGGCAUAAGCUAGCUUGACUGCGAGAGUGACGGCUCGAGCAGGUACGAAAGUAGGUCUUAGUGAUCCGGUGGUUCUGAAUGGAAGGGCCAUCGCUCAACGGAUAAAAGGUACUCCGGGGAUAACAGGCUGAUACCGCCCAAGAGUUCAUAUCGACGGCGGUGUUUGGCACCUCGAUGUCGGCUCAUCACAUCCUGGGGCUGAAGUAGGUCCCAAGGGUAUGGCUGUUCGCCAUUUAAAGUGGUACGCGAGCUGGGUUUAGAACGUCGUGAGACAGUUCGGUCCCUAUCUGCCGUGGGCGUUGGAAGAUUGAGAGGGGUUGCUCCUAGUACGAGAGGACCGGAGUGAACGCACCACUGGUGUUCGGGUUGUCAUGCCAAUGGCAUUGCCCGGUAGCUAAGUGCGGAAAAGAUAAGCGCUGAAAGCAUCUAAGCGCGAAACUUGCCUCAAGAUGAGUCUUCCCUGGGACUUUAAGUCCCCUGAAGGAACGUUUAAGACUAAGACGUUGAUAGGCUGGGUGUGUAAGUGCAGCGAUGCAUUGAGCUAACCAGUACUAAUGAUCCGUGAGGCUUAACCUUACAACACCGAAGGUGUUUUAG